GAAAGGGAGGCUCUUCGGAGCUUUCGCUGAAGAGGGGCUUGCGUCUGAUUAGCUAGUUGGAGGGGGUAACGGCCCACCAAGGCGACGAUCAGUAGCCGGUCUGAGAGGAUGAACGGCCACAUUGGGACUGAGACACGGCCCAGACUCCUACGGGAGGCAGCAGUGGGGAAUCUUCCGGCAAUGGACGAAAGUCUGACGGAGCAACGCCGCGUGAACGAUGACGGCCUUCGGGUUGUAAAGUUCUGUUAUACGGGACGAAUGGCGUAGCGGUCAAUACCCGUUACGAGUGACGGUACCGUAAGAGAAAGCCACGGCUAACUACGUG
rnacentral:rRNA from 1 species